UUACUUUCCCCAAUUCCAUUUCUUAUUACUUCUCUACCACAUCUCUGUUUGGUCUUUCCUUCUUUCUUUCACACCUUCUCAAGCCCUAGCCAUCGCCGCCACCACCUACGAGUGCACCGCGCUGACCACAGCCACCACCGCGACACCGCCACUGCUACCGUUCAGGCCUCAUUCGACUGCAAUUCGACUUCAUUCGAGAGAAACCUUCUUCCUCUCGAAGCAAUUCGACUGCAACUCGCCUUCGUCGUUGGCUCAGCUGUAUUCGGACAGAGGCUUGACUUCCCUCACGGUGCGUCUUAAGGACUGCUAACCAUCUGUCUUCCUCCACGGCGCAUCUUAAAGCCCUCAAUUUGAUUUCCAAUUUAAGGUUGGUUCGGGCCGUUGGGUAUUCCUUCCCCAAUUUAAGGUUCGCGCAGCUUUUAGGAUUUUUGACCCAAACUCCGUUUACUCUUUCCAGUGAUUUUUUGCUGUCCUUUGGAAUACAAUAGUACAAAGUGCAAAUUUUUGUCCUGAUUCCCUUGUUGCAUUUCCGAUAAUUGUAAACUGCUCUCCGUCUUUUUUUAUUUUGGACGUAUCCAUGCACGGAUUUGAAAGAGGAUCCAGAACAAAUACUGAAAUGAAAAAAAAAAUGAAAUUUUCUGGCUUGAAUUUGUAAUGAUUGAGACCAAUUAGGGCAUAAAAUGGUUUAGACGCACCCCAGAUUCCAAUUUUCCAUUCAUGUCAUGCAUUUUUACCUUAACCAUCAGUUCUUUCAUUUCUGAAAUUGUAUGAAUCAUGCAUGCAGAUGUUAGGAAAGUUAACCAAGUGAUGUCAAAGAAGGCUGCAAUAUACGGCAAUUAUGAAAAUAGAAGUCGUUGUUGUGAUUCUAAAAGUUACAGACCGCUCUCCACUACUUUUUUUUUUUUUUAAUAUUAUCAUUUUCCUAUCUCCACUGCUGAUUUGUAAAUACUAGUGCAAUUUUUAAAAAAAAAAUUUUUUUUAAUCGAUGUUACUAACGUUGGAGGGAGUGUUAUAUACAUUAUCUAGCUACAAUAUGAAUCUGAUAUGACUUGAUCGAGCCCAUAAUUUUUUUUUCUCUCUCUCAAAAACUCUGAUUCCAAUAUGUCUUUUCUAGUUGCGCAUCUAUUUUUAGAUUAUGAAAAAUAACAUGCAUCUCAUUUUUAAUAUUCCCACGUCUAUCCCAUUAAAUAUUUCUAUAGGCAAAGUCUAUAGUUUAUAACUGCUGGUAUAUGGGGGCUAUAAUUCCAUAGCUCAAUGAAAGUGUAAUUUAGUAUAUGAUACGUAGAUUUGGUUUUUAUAUGUUUACUCUGAUGGUGGCCUCUUUUUGUGUAAAUCAUACCACAUUUUUUAUUCUUGCAUGUUUCUGAUCUCAUGUGCUCUACACUUAGCCUCCUCAUCUCUUUUGAGGCUCAAUGUCUACUGUCUAGUCACCUGCUAGAGAGAACUUGGGUAAUAUUCUGCGGCGCUUAACUUUUAUUUGUAUAGCCGGUUUGAGCAGAAAAGUGAGACCACAUUUGCUUGAUUCAAUAGUACAGAUUAAGGCUUUGGCAUGUAUAUAAUGUAUGCAAUAUUUUUCACUUGAGCUCACAAUGUAUCUGAUUUAUAUGCCGAGUAUGUGGAGAUGCAUGUUUCAAGUUCAAGAGAUUCUGGAGGAAGCUCUCAAGUAGUGGCAAAUGAACCAGGUAGCAAGAGUAGCAAUAGUUCAUCCUCUACAAUGACACAUGUUACUGGAAUGUGUGAAUUUCUAUCUCACAUUGCUACUGUGGAACCCGUUCAACCGGAGAAAAAUGAGCUAGAUAUCUACUUUGAAGAUGGCCUUCUCAGUGCUAUGGAGAAGUCUAGCUUGGAUAUUGUCAACUUAGAUGCUUUGAAAUGGUGGAAAAGCACAACAAAAUACAAGAUUUUGCCUAAGAUGGCUGCGGAUAUUUUAGCCAUUCCUGUUAGCACCGUAGCUUCGGAAGCGACAUUUAGUGCUGGAACUAGAGUGCUUGACUCCUACCGUGCUUCUUUAGCUCCAGAAACUGUAGAGAUGUUGAUGUGUGUUGGGGAUUGGUGUCGUAGGCUACACGGAGUGAAGAAAAGGGAUAAGAAAAUGAAGUCAGCGCAAGAGAUUUCAUUGCCUAUUCCUUGAACUUUUUCAUGUUUUAGCUGUGCAACAGUUGCAGCUUAUUGGUGCAUUAUUGGCUGUAGGUUGGAGCUGGGACUAUGAAUCCUCUGACAUUUCUAAGAAGAGAAGAAGUUCGUGACUUCAAUGACUGUGCUUAGUUUGUAAUUUGUAAUUCAAUAAGUUUCUAAAUUUAUGAUUGUAUUUAGUGAAAAAUUUGUAGGCCUUUUUUUAUUAUGAUAAUGUGAAAAAUUAUGGUCAAUUAUAGGCAUGAAUUGUAAGCUAUGAUUAUGCUCAUAAUUUGGUUAGGAAUUAGUUAAUAAAAUGAUUUUUUUUGUUA